GAUAUUACGUUUUCUCUGCCAAUGUUUUUGUGGUUCUAUUGAACUUUUUUCCUAUUUUUAUACGGUUUUCUCUUCCCUGUUGCUGUGUGAAAUACCCACAUGAGCAACAAGAAAAACUGGCCAUGCACAAAGUGCUGUCAAAUCCAGAAAACAGACUGGAAAAAAUAGAAGAGUUUCUUAUCUUUAAGUUACAGUAUCCUUAAGUGCUACUUCUGAUGGUAAUACAUUUAAAAUGAACAAGCUCACAUCCACCUACAAUGACGCAGGGAGGAAGACCUAUAAAGGAGGAAGACAGAGUGAUCAUCUACCUGUCCAAGUUCCUGCUUCCAGUACCUGAUGGUGUCACCAGAGGUCAGCCAGUCCUGACAGUGGAGCUGCUCCUCAAGCUGCAAGAGACGGUAAAGAAGCAACAUCUUGUUCUUUAAUGGACCUGAUCUGGGUUUAUUCUUGGGUCAGGGCUUCAAGCCCUCUACCUUGUCGUAGCUAAAACCUGUCAUAUGUGAUCCCUUUUUCUGUUGCAACCCUGAGUCCUUAGUGUUUUACCUAUGUUAUUUACCUUGUUUAACUUAUUUGCUUAACUGUUGCCUGUUAAUAAAUCUGUCCCUUUUUUUGCACCUUA